AGAGUUUGAUCAUGGCUCAGAACGAACGCUGGCGGCGCGCCUAAUACAUGCAAGUCGAACGAGAAUGUGUAGCAAUACACAUGUAAAGUGGCGAACGGGUGAGGACUACAUGGGUAACCUACCCUCGAGUGGGGGAUAACCAGCCGAAAGGUUGGCUAAUACCGCGUACGCUUCCCGGACUGCGGUUCGGGAAGGAAAGCGAUACCGUGGGUAUCGCGCUCUUGGAUGGGCUCAUGCCCUAUCAGCUUGUUGGUGAGGCAACGGCUCACCAAGGCAUCGACGGGUAGCUGAUCUGAGAGGAUGAUCAGCCACACUGGCACUGCGACACGGGCCAGACUCCUACGGGAGGCAGCAGUAAGGAAUAUUGCGCAAUGGGCGAAAGCCUGACGCAGCGACGCCGCGUGGGGGAUGAAGGUCUUCGGAUUGUAAACCCCUUUCGGGAGGGAAGAUGGGAUGGGGUAACCCAUUCGGACGGUACCUCCAGAAGCAGCCACGGCUAACUUCGUGCCAGCAGCCGCGGUAAUACGAAGGUGGCAAGCGUUGUUCGGAUUUACUGGGCGUACAGGGAGCGUAGGCGGUUGGGUAAGCCCUCCGUGAAAUCUCCAGGCUUAACCUGGAAAGUGCAGAGGGGACUGCUUAGCUAGAGGAUGGGAGAGGAGCGCGGAAUUCCCGGUGUAGCGGUGAAAUGCGUAGAGAUCGGGAGGAAGGCCGGUGGCGAAGGCGGCGCUCUGGAACAUUUCUGACGCUGAGGCUCGAAAGCGUGGGGAGCAAACAGGAUUAGAUACCCUGGUAGUCCACGCCUUAAACGAUGGAUACUAAGUGUCGGCGGGUUACCGCCCGGUGCCGCAGCUAACGCAGUAAGUAUCCCGCCUGGGAAGUACGGGCCGCAAGGUUGAAACUCAAAGGAAUUGACGGGGGCCCGCACAAGCGGUGGAGCAUGUGGUUUAAUUCGACGCAACGCGGAGACCUUACUAGGCUGGACAUGCACGUAGUAGGAGGAUGAAAGUCUACGAGGUAGCAUACAGCGUGCUCAGGUGCUGCAUGCUGUCGUCAGCCUCGUGCCGUGAGGUCUGGGUAGUCCCGCAACGAGCCCACCCCCUGUCUCAGUACACGGUCAUGGCGGGACCUCUGGGAAGACUGCCAGAGAAACGCGGGAGAAAGAGUGUGGGAUUACACA
rnacentral:rRNA from 1 species